rnacentral:ncRNA from 1 species
GGUGAUAGAGGCGCGGGCUUCAUCAGUAGCCGGAGGAUGACACGGGAAUGUCACCGGCGAAAGGGAAUACCGCCGAAGUGUGUACGAACCCCGGGCGUGCAUGCUGGGAUAACGCGAAAGACGCGUUAUACUGUCGUUACAGGGACGGACGUCCCGAACGGAGUGCUAUU